rnacentral:tRNA from 1 species
UAGGAGGAAGCUAAUUUUAAGCACCUGUCUGUUAAACAGGCCUUAGCUCUUUUUGAGCCCUUCUAG